CAGCAUGUAGCGGUCAACACAUAUAUAAACUUUUCUGUAACAUCGAUGGCGCAGUUUGCUCGCUGCAUGUGCGGGGCAUCCAUUCCAGCGGGUACGAUGAUCACUAUGGGUGUCGGCAGGGUUCGCUGCCACGCGGUCUCUGCCAUUACAGUGCUCCUGGUGCUAGCCGCAGUGGCGGGAGUGCAAGCUCGCUGCCCUCCCAGGCGGUCGGGUCUCUUGAGUACCUGCGACUACACCGUAUGUUCCCCCGCGGAGUGCGCCGCGCAGGGUCUGGAGUGCUGCCCGAAACCGUGCGGUGGAAGCUGGUGCGUCAAAGGUAUACGUCCGCCACCCGAAUUCACUGAGAUCUGUCCAUCAGUGUUUAAUAGGGACCAGGACUGCCUUGAGCCGAGGGAUAACACGACUUGUGAACAACUGAACUGCUUCAAGGUGGGAUCCAUCUGCUGCCGCAAUGGCUGCAAGGAAAACUACUGCUACCUCGUGCCCGGGACAUUCAAGUGAGGCCCUCGGUCACCGCUAGCCACGCCAAGCUUUUUCUCAACACUUUAUCAGAAUAAACAUCCGUUUGAUCUGCUCA